rnacentral:rRNA from 2 species
CGUGUAGGCGGCUAGAUAAGUCAGAUGUGAAAUCCCUGGGCUUAACCCAGGAAGUGCAUUUGAUACUGUUUGGCUUGAGUAGGGGAGAGGAAAGUGGAAUUCCUGGUGUAGAGGUGAAAUUCGUAGAUAUCAGGAGGAACACCGGUGGCGAAGGCGACUUUCUGGCCCUAUACUGACGCUGAGACGCGAAAGCGUGGGUAGCAAACA